rnacentral:rRNA from 1 species
CCUACGGGGCGCAGCAGUGGGGAAUAUUGGACAAUGGGCGAAAGCCUGAUCCAGCCAUGCCGCGUGUGUGAAGAAGGCCUUCGGGUUGUAAAGCACUUUCAGUGGGGAAGAAAGCCUUGGGGCUAAUACCCUCGAGGAAGGACAUCACCCACAGAAGAAGCACCGGCUAACUCCGUGCCAGCAGCCGCGGUAAUACGGAGGGUGCGAGCGUUAAUCGGAAUUACUGGGCGUAAAGCGCGCGUAGGCGGUCUGAUAAGCCGGUUGUGAAAGCCCCGGGCUCAACCUGGGAACGGCAUCCGGAACUGUCAGGCUAGAGUGCAGGAGAGGAAGGUAGAAUUCCCGGUGUAGCGGUGAAAUGCAUAGAGAUCGGGAGGAAUACCAGUGGCGAAGGCGGUCUUCUGGACUGACACUGACGCUGAGGUGCGAAAGCGUGGGUAGCAAACAGGAUUAGAUACCCGAGUAGUC